AUUGAACGCUGGCGGCAUGCCUUACACAUGCAAGUCGAACGGCAGCACGGGGGCAACCCUGGUGGCGAGUGGCGAACGGGUGAGUAAUGCAUCGGAACGUACCCAGUUGUGGGGGAUAGCCCGGCGAAAGCCGGAUUAAUACCGCAUACGACCUGAGGGUGAAAGCGGGGGUACCGAAAGGCCUCGCGCAGUUGGAGCGGCCGAUGUCGGAUUAGCUAGUUGGUGGGGUAAAGGCUUACCAAGGCGACGAUCCGUAGCUGGUCUGAGAGGACGACCAGCCACACUGGGACUGAGACACGGCCCAGACUCCUACGGGAGGCAGCAGUGGGGCAAUUUUGGACAAUGGGGGCAAGCCCUGAUCCAGCCAUGCCGCGUGCGGGAAGAAGGCCUUCGGGUUGUAAACCGCUUUGUCAGGGAAGAAAUCUCUGGGUUAAUACCUCGGGAGGAUGACGGUACCUGAAGAAUAAGCACCGGCUAACUACGUGCCAGCAGCCGCGGUAAUACGUAGGGUGCGAGCGUUAAUCGGAAUUACUGGGCGUAAAGCGUGCGCAGGCGGUUUUGUAAGAUCGAUGUGAAAUCCCCGGGGACUCAACCUGGGAACUGCAUUGGUGACUGCAAGGCUGGAGUGCGGCAGAGGGGGUAUGGAAUUCCGCGUGUAGCAGGUGAAAUGCGUAGAUAUGCGGAGGAAGCACCGAUGGCGAAGGCAAUCCCUGGGCCUGCACUGACGCUCAUGCACG
rnacentral:rRNA from 1 species